CCUACGGGGGGCAGCAGUGGGGAAUAUUGGGCAAUGGGCGCAAGCCUGACCCAGCAACGCCGCGUGAAGGAAGAAGGCUUUCGGGUUGUAAACUUCUUUUAAGGGGGAAGAGCAGAAGACGGUACCCCUUGAAUAAGCCACGGCUAACUACGUGCCAGCAGCCGCGGUAAUACGUAGGUGGCAAGCGUUGUCCGGAUUUACUGGGUGUAAAGGGCGUGCAGCCGGAGAGACAAGUCAGAUGUGAAAUCCACGGGCUCAACCCUUGGACUGCUUUGGAAACUGUGCUGCUGGAGUGUCGGAGAGGC
rnacentral:rRNA from 1 species